GAUGAACGCUGGCGGCGUGCCUAAUACAUGCAAGUCGAGCGAAUGGAUUUAGAGCUUGCUCUUAUGAAGUUAGCGGCGGACGGGUGAGUAACACGUGGGUAACCUGCCCAUAAGACUGGGAUAACUCCGGGAAACCGGGGCUAAUACCGGAUAACAUUUUGAACCGCAUGGUUCGAAAUUGAAAGGCGGCUUCGGCUGUCACUUAUGGAUGGACCCGCGUCGCAUUAGCUAGUUGGUGAGGUAACGGCUCACCAAGGCAACGAUGCGUAGCCGAGCUGAGAGGGUGAUCGGCCACACUGGGACUGAGACACGGCCCAGACUCCUACGGGAGGCAGCAGUAGGGAAUAUUCCGCAAUGGACGAAAGUCUGACGGAGCAACGCCGCGUGAGUGAUGAAGGCUUUCGGGUCGUAAAACUCUGCUGUUAGGGAAGAACAAGUGCUAGUUGAAUAAGCUGGCACCUUGACGGUACCUAACCAGAAAGCCACGGCUAACUACGUGCCAGCCGCCGCGGUAA
rnacentral:rRNA from 1 species